CCGCGCGGCGCUGGCCGCUUCGCUGCAGCCGGGGCUUCGGCGGGGCUGCGGGAGCCGCGCUGGCCGGGCCGCGGCUCCGCCUGUCCUCACCUGCCCGCCCGCCUCACCGCGGAUGGCGCCGGCGACCGGGGCUGCGGGGUGCGCGCGGGCUGCUCGGAGGCGCUGUGGCGGGCGAGGGCGCGGGUGGCUGGAGCACCCGGCCCGCGGCAAGGACCGGCUGGCGGCAGGCGGGGCGCGCGGAGCCCGGGGCUCGGCCGAGACGGAGCGAAAGAGAAAGUAAGACCGAGGACCGGGCAGCCUGGCCGGGGCAGCUCUGUCCCCGCCGGGCCCGGCUGUGCCAGGCAAGCGGGUACAGAGGGGUCCACGCGGGCCCGAGGGCGGCAGCGGCGGGUCGGGAGGUGGCCGGGUGGGUCCCUCCUGUCGGAGGCACUGUCGCCCCGGCGGCCCGCGCAGGCUGCCGGCGUCCCAGAGGAGCGCCCUCCACCACGCGGGGCACAGCCGGGGAUAAACUUCACGACCACAGUUCCCAGCCCGGGCAAAAGUCUCCAUUUUGCUCCCCAAGUGGCUGCGGCUGUCCCGCCGUCGCCACCCCUGCCCCUGCGCCCGCGGAGCCGGGUGGGCGCCGGCCCGCGCCCCCUCCUCCGCCCCUCCCCGGCUCGGGGUCUCCCUCCUCUGCGCCCGGCUGGCGGACGCCAAAGGCGGUGCUCUAGCGCCCACUAUUUCAAAAGCCCGGAAUAUGAUUUGACCAGGACUGAGAGCCACUCGGAGAGAGAGAGGGAGAGAGCGAGCGGGGAGGAAAAAGUUGCUCUCCCCUUUCGUCAACUUUUCGCUAACUUUCACUUUUCGCUCCCCUCCACCCCCGGCCCUCCCCCUCC
rnacentral:lncRNA from 1 species